rnacentral:rRNA from 1 species
GUGUGCCCGCGCCUUCCUAGAUGUAGCCUUUUUUCAGGCUCCCUUUUCGGGAAUCAAAACCGUGUUUCUCCUUAACACGUUACAACCCUGGUAGGCGCUAAUCAACCCAUAAAAGUGAUAAGGAGACAUUUAGGGAUAUGUGCGUUUCUCCGACCCCCUUUAAAUAAAUUUUCCAAAAUCACUUAAUUUCAAAAAAAGUUCCAGGGGUGAAAAAAAACCAAACCCCCCCCCACCUGGCUUGUCUCAAAGAUUAAGCCAUGCAUGUCUAAGCAUAAAUGAAUUCAUAGUGAAGCCGCGAAUAGCUCAUUACAACAGCCAUCGUUUAAUGGAUAUAUUUUUACAUGGAUAACUGUGGUAAUUCUACAGCUAAUACACGCAUCAAAACCCAACCUUACGGUGGGGUGCGUUUGUUACUUCAAACCAAUCGGACUUCUGUCUGAAAUCAAGUGAUAUUGAACAAUUUAGCUGAUCGCACGGUCUGAGAACCGGCGACAUAUCCUUCAAAUGUCUGCCUUAUCAACUUUCGAUGGUAGAUUACGCGCCUACCAUGGUUGUAACGGGUAACGGAGAA